rnacentral:rRNA from 1 species
UACGUAGGGUGCGAGCGUUAAUCGGAAUUACUGGGCGUAAAGCGUGCGCAGGCGGUUCGUUGUGUCGGCGGUGAAAGCCCGGCUUAACCUGGGAAUGGCCGUCGAAACUGGCGAACUGGAGUGUGGCAGAGGGGGUGGAAUUCCGCGUGUAGCAGUGAAAUGCGUAGAGAUGCGGAGGAACACCGAUGGCGAAGCAGCCCCCUGGGCUGACACUGACGCUCAGGCACGAAAGCGUGGGGAGC